rnacentral:rRNA from 1 species
CGUAGGGUGCGAGCGUUGUCCGGAAUUAUUGGGCGUAAAGGGCUCGUAGGCGGUUUGUCGCGUCGGGAGUGAAAGCCCAGGGCUUAACCCUGGGUCUGCUUCUGAUACGGGCAGACUAGAGGUAUGUAGGGGAGAACGGAAUUCCUGGUGUAGCGGUGAAAUGCGCAGAUAUCAGGAGGAACACCGGUGGCGAAGGCGGUUCUCUGGGCAUUACCUGACGCUGAGGAGCGAAAGUGUGGGGAGCGAACAGGAUU